rnacentral:rRNA from 1 species
UACGAAGGGGGCUAGCGUUGCUCGGAAUCACUGGGCGUAAAGCGCACGUAGGCGGAUCUUUAAGUCAGGGGUGAAAUCCUGGAGCUCAACUCCAGAACUGCCUUUGAUACUGGGGAUCUCGAGUCCGGAAGAGGUGAGUGGAACUCCGAGUGUAGAGGUGAAAUUCGUAGAUAUUCGGAAGAACACCAGUGGCGAAGGCGGACUCACUGGUCCGGUACUGACGCUGAGGUGCGGAAAGCGUGGGGAG